UGUAGCAUGUUUCAUUAAACUAAUAACAGUCCCUUCAAUGAAACAAUGUGUUGUAAAACCUUUCCCAAUUUUUCUUUUGAGGCAUGGUGGUUAAGGGCUACAUAAGUAUUAACAUGUCUAAGUUCUUUUAAUUGCUGGGUUUAUAAAUCUGAACAGCUGUAAUGAAAUAAUCAGAAACAACCAGAUGGAAUUGGAGCCAGUCACCAUGGGUAUUUGAGAAGUGCAUACUGUUUGGGGAGACUGAAUAUGUACUGAUCCAAUCUAAAAUGGAGCAGAUGGCAAAGCAAACAGAAUUUGAUUUUUUAAACCAUAUUUCAUGGUCCUUUUGGAGAAGAAAAAUUGUCCUCAAAUAAUUUACAUUUGACUUUUGGAUUUCCCCCACACUUCUUUGUGGAGGAGGACGCUUGAUUCAGUGGAGCUCAACUUCCAGCCCACAACCAUACCCCGAAAAGGAGCUUCCAUUUGAAAGUUACCAUGAUCUCAGUGUAAGCAAACAGGCACUCAAAGCUUUGAGAGGAAUGUAUAACAAUAUAUUUUUAUGACUUGGUAAAGAUGUCCCUCAAAUACCCUUCUAGCAGAUGAGCUUAUUUAUUAGUAGAAGAUAAGUGCAUUAGCAAUUAGUAUUUGAUCACUCUAGUAUUUCAAGCGGAAGGAGAAUUAAUACAAACAGUAUUAAUUCUUGCUUAUCAAACUAUCAGACAUGCUGGAGGAAUAGAGGUCCGGAAAUACAGACUCUUGCUAUCAGUGAUGGCCAUUACCUCUCAAACAUUCAGAAAUUUGCAGUAACCACAGGAAGACACUGACAACAAUCAGAGCUGCCUCUAGCACUGAGGUGGAUCAUUCCCAGGGCCAUAUCUGGAAGCCCCUGCAAAAUCCGACAUCACUUGAAGCCCACAUUUCUGAUCACUACUGCCAAGAGGAGCAAUAAUGGAUUUCCGCGUUUCUUUCACUUUCCAAAUCUCAUAUCUUCUAUGUGAAGCAAAUUUCUGCCUUCCCCUCUAUGUCAGAAACUAGAAGUUUUCAGGCAGCAUCAAGUCUUCCAAUCACUAAAGAUUUUUGGCAGAAAAAGAUUCUAGGAUCCUCUAAGAAGCACUUAUGGUUAAGGACCAGGGAAUCUGAAUUGAUGACCCAGACUUGACUACAACUAUCUAAGAGGUUAUAUGGUGAGGCUUAGUUCUCACACAACAUGUAGCUGAAGUUGGAUGCUCUUUCAAGCCAACUGGGUCACACUCUGGAAAGAACAGCUGAGCAUAUGAGCAUGAACUAAAAAGAUGCAAUUCUAAGGGAAAACUUGGACCAUCCUUCACUGAAGGAGUGAGAUUAACCUCCACCUGUGCAAAGGAACCUGUACAAAGAUCUGGACCAGCAAAUUCGUAAAUACUGCAGUGAACUCUGCCAAACAGAUGUACAAAAGUGACACUGGGCAGCAGCUACAGAAACCAUGGCAGUGGAAAAAUAAGUCCCACUAGUGAAUCAGUCAAUUCUCUUUUUCUCUCCCGGUGAGGUCAUCGUAAGCAAGAUUUGCACCUUAUACUAUGUUAUCCCCUGGAGCAGUUAAAUAAUUGGAAGAGAGAAAAGAUUUAGAAGAUACUGGAUAUCCUGCUAUUUUUGAAAGUAUAAAAUUGAGUUGAUUUUAGUUUUAAAAUUGUUAAAGUUUCCAGAUAAAAAAUGGUAAAUUGAAAGUAUUUAAAGGGUUGUUGCUGUCUUCUGAAAGCCCAAUAAACUGUAUUUUUUUAAUAAAGGCAUAAACUCACAUAGACAAACAGUGUUGGAAAAGAGACAAAAGCGACACAGCUUUGGAAGCUAGGAAGCAGCUGGAUGAGUGGUAAAUUACUUGGCAAAUGUGAGAAAGCUGGAUUCUCAGCCAGCGGUAGGAAAAGCUGAGCAGUUCCCUGAUACAUGUGACAGAAGCCCCCAGAGACUCAUGAUUUAGUAGACCGGGCACCUCUAGAAAAACUGGGGUGGGGAAAUGAUGACUAAAACAGCAGGAUUCUUUGGAAGUCAUUUUAAAAGAAAAAAUUAGACCUUCUGGCUUCUCACCAACUUUAUGAAGCCAGACAACUACUGUUGUCUCGUUCUGGCAGAAGACUAACUGCUUACUUAAAGAGAGUAAAACAGGUUUUUACCCACCGAAGGAGAGCCAGGCACAGUGGCAGGCAGAGGUGCC
rnacentral:lncRNA from 10 species